AUUGAACGCUGGCGGCAGGCCUAACACAUGCAAGUCGAGCGAGCGGCGGAGGGGUGAGUCAUGUCUGGGACACUGCCUGAUGGAGGGGGUUAACUACUGGAAACGGUAGCUAAUACCGCAUACCAUCAGAUGUGCCCAGAUGGGAUUAGCUAGUAGGUGGGGUAAUGGCUCACCUAGGCGACGAUCCCUAGCUGGUCUGAGAGGGUGACCGGCCACACUGGAACUGAGACACGGUCCAGACUCCUACGGGAGGCAGCAGUGGGGAAUCUUGCACAAUGGGCGCAAGCCUGAUGGAGCCAUGCCGCGUGUGUGAAGAAGGCCUUCGGGUUGUAAAGCACUUUCAGCGAGGAGGCGUUACCCGCAGAGGAAGCACCGGCUAACUCCGUGCCAGCAGCCGCGGUAAUUC
rnacentral:rRNA from 1 species